rnacentral:rRNA from 1 species
AACGAACGCUGGCGGCAUGCCUAACACAUGCAAGUCGAACGAGACCUUCGGGUCUUGUGGCGCACGGGUGCGUAACGCGUGGGAACCUGCCCUUAGGUUCGGAAUAACUCCCCGAAAGGGGUGCUAAUACCGGAUAAUGUCUUCGGCCCAAAGAUUUCUCGCCUCUGGAUGGGCGCGCGUUGGAUUAGCUAGUUGGUAGGGUAAAAGCCUACCAAGGCGACGAUCCAUAGCUGGUCUGAGAGGAUGAUCAGCCACACUGGGACUGAGACACGGCCCAGACACCUACGGGAGGCGGCAGUAAGGAAGAUUGAACAAUGGGCGAAAGCCGGAGCCAGCAAUGCCGCGGGAGUGAUGAAGGCGUGAGGGUUGUAAAGCUCUUUUACCCGGGAUGGUAAUGACAGGACCGGGGGAAUAAGCUCCGGCUAACUCCGUG